AGUUUUAGGGAGGGGGGAGAAAAAAAGGAAAGGAAAUCAGCCACUGAAUUCAUUAUCCUUCCUUUUGUCAUCCAGGCUACCAGCUGUGUAUGAAGAAGUACGUGUCUGCAAAUAAGGUAAUUCUCAUGGUUGAUCAUGUAGGGCUUUUAUCAAAUGUCUCUAAGACCUGGAGUCAUCAGCUUAUCAACAGAAUUGUUAAAUUCAUAUAAAGGAAUUCCACUUUGCAUACAUUCCAGGAAGACCUAAUGCUUCCGGGUAAGAGUUUACAUGAAGCAGGACUGGUAACCUUUGAAAAAGCCCCACAGGGGCAGGGGGUGGGGGAGCGGGAGGAAGUGGGAGGGGUGGAUGAUGGGAGCAGAGGGACUGGAGGAAGAAGGAGUUUCAGAUUAUAAAUCCCUGUUCUUCUAGUAACAUCCCUCAGUGCCCUUGGGUCCCCCCCAACACACAUUUAUUUUAUUGUUAAGCAUCUUAAGCUGUCUUCCACAGACAGCAUGGAUUGGGAAAGACAACAUCCCUGGUCGACUGGUGCCCAUCACAAGAAACCUGUUCAUAAACACUCUUUAGCAUGGUGUACCCUUGAACUUGAAAGAUUAGGAGUAACCACUAUCAACUGUCAUCCUUAUACGAGCGCAACUGAGUCAGGCCCUUCCCACCCCCAGAGGGGCCCCUGAGCUGCUGAAGCCAAUGGCCUCUGCCUACAAACAGCUGCCUGGACCACAGGUCAUGGAAAUUCCUUCGUACAGGAGGAACUGGGAAUUGUCCCACUGGCAAAGGGUAGCUCAAGGGUCUGAUAUUUUUGUGGAAAAUAUCAAGUCAAUUGCAAUCUACCAUGGAAGCUGAGACACGAAGGACACUGUUCUGAUGAGCUAGAACAAGGCGAAAAAUUCCUUUCAUCACAAAGACCAUUACCCCAGGUAUUAGCAAUGGUGUGGUAACAAGUAACGAGAGGUCCAGCCCGUGGGACCCCUGGAACAUCUCCAGAGCGUGGGGGGAAUGUUGAUCAGAGAACUCUUCCCACGCUGCUGUUUCUGGCCACUCGCUGUCAGGACUAAGAGCAAGACACGCGCCACCGUGAACAGCCUGCCUGAGGGGCACAAGCACAUGCCUCCUCCCUGCGAGGACGGGUCAUAGACUACCCGGUCACUGCUCCCUCCUUUCCAGAAUCACCGGGAGUGGGUCAAGCUGGCAAAUGUGCCACUUGGCUUUAUGUCCUCUUAAAAGUUAUUAUUUAUUUUUUAAGUUGUGGUAAAAUGUACAUUACAUGAAAGUGACCAUUCUAACCAAUUUUGUGUACCGUUCAGGGGCAUGAAGCGCAUCCAUAUGCUGGACCACCAUGACCGCCAUCCACCCCCAGAACUUUUGUCAUCUCAGCAUUGCCGCAUCUUGUGGUGACCCAGGAAGUUCUGCCUUUUCUCACGAGGCUGAAGAGUCCAUCUGCCCGAGUCUGGGCUUUGCCCUAGAGAUGCUACCCUUCAAGUUACAAAGACCUGGACUGAGAUCAGCUCUAAUUCACGGGACCCUCUGGCAAGUUACAGAUGCCGAGUCAGCUUCCUCAUCUAUAAGGUGACUGGGGCGUCCUCCCCACAGGGAUGUUCCGUGGGUUAAAACAGUGACAGACAGACAGACAGGUGUGUGCUAAUUCCUGGUCUGGAACACCCAAAAGCAGAGUAAGUGACCAGCAUAUCUGCUGUUUGGCCGACUGCCCAUCGAUUGAGUCUGAUUUCUUUCAAAGCCACUUUCAGAGCUUGCUUAAGCUGUAACAAACUACUCCCUGGCAGUCAGCUUUGGAUUUUGUAGUAUUCAGUAUUCAGAAUCGCUCUUAACUCCCGCAAGCCUUCUGGAUGCUAAUACUGUAUUCAAAUCAUUGAGGUUAUUUUUGUUUUUAUUUUUGCCUGAUAAGGCCACAGCUGUGGCAUAUGGAAGUCCCCAGGCUGGGAUCGAAUCGGAGCUGCAGCUGCUUGUCUAUGCCACAGCCACAGCAACAGGGGAUCUGAGCCACACCUGCAACCUACACCACAGCUCAGGCAGUGCUGGAUCCUUAACCUACUGGGCGAGGCCAGGGAUGGAACCCGCAGCCUCAUGGUUCCUAGUCAGGUUGGUUACCACUGAGCCAUGGUGGGAACUCCCUCAAAUCAUCUUUGAUCAUUUCCAACCCGUUUUAUACAUAUUUCCUCUCUAUGCUGGCCCCUGUCCUGUCACUUCCCCCCAUGACGUCAACAUGAACACUGGCCAGAACAGCAGAGAAACUUGGAAACUCUUCGAACUUAAACAAAACAUGUCGAGGGCUCCAAGGCCUUAGGAGAGUCCAAACAUGCAAACUAGAAACGUCUCGGCUCUCCUGGGGGUCUGGAGCAGCUACCCUUUUUCUUUCAUCAGCUAGAUGUUCAUUUAUGAAAUAACUGCUUGUUACAGGGUGUCAUAAAGCGGGUAUGGAUCCUUGGAAGGGGUAAGCAAUGAGAUUCUGCUGUACAGCCCAAGGAACUAUAUCUGAUCACUUGGGAUGGACCAUGAUGGAGGAUAAUGUGAAAAAAAAAAAAAAAAGAAUGUAUAUAUGUAUGACCGGGUCACUUUGCUGUAUAGCAGAAAUUGACAGAACAUUGUAAAUCAAAUAUAAUUUUUUUUUUUAAAAGAGGGUAUGAAUCCUGAAAAUAAAAGCCGGUUAAGUGCAAUGAUUGUCCAUGAAGUUCUGGCAGAACUUGACUUCCCGUUUGCACCAAAAUUGCCUGGAUGGCUUAUACCUCAUAAGAAUCAUAAGACUCGCCAGUCAGUGUGGUCAGUCUAUGGGAUUUAAAACACGGCUUUACUGUUUAUCUUACUACUUGAAAAUCUUCAAAAGCUCUACUCUAUAAUCACUAACUAACUGACAGCUAAUUAAUUCACUAAUAUGCUGGAGCAAAGCAGAGAUUUCUUUCUUUUUAAAAUUUUAUUUUAUAA